UGCAAGCACCGCGGGAGUGAGG
rnacentral:miRNA from 2 species